rnacentral:rRNA from 1 species
GCGAUAACGAACGAGACCUUAACCUGCUAAAUAGUGAGUAUCAUUUCUGGUCGCCUUUCGGGGAGGCUAUGAAUUGGUAUGAUUUUUGAUCACUUCUUAGAGGGACUAUUGACGUCUAGUCAAUGGAAGUUUGAGGCAAUAACAGGUCUGUGAUGCCCUUAGAUGUCCUGGGCCGCACGCGCGCUACACUGAUGAAGUCAGCAAGUUAAUUUGAUCCUUGGCCGGAAGGCCUGGGUAAUCUUUUGAAACUUCAUCGUGCUGGGGAUAGUUCAUUGCAAUUAUUGAACUUCAACGAGGAAUUCCUAGUAAGCACAAGUCAUCAGCUUGUGCUGAUUACGUCCCUGCCCUUUGUACACACCGCCCGUCGCUAGUACCGAUUGAAUGGAUA